CAAUAGCGUAUAUUAAAGUUGUUGCGGUUAAAACGCUCGUAGUUGGGUUUCUGCCAGGAGCGACUGGUCCGCCCAAGUGGCGAGCACCUGCACAGUUCCUGGCAUCCUCUUGGGGAACGGGUGCGCACUUCAUUGUGUGGCUCGGAAACCAAGACAUUUACUUUGAGGAAAUUAGAGUGUUCACGGCAGGCAUUCGCCUUGAAUAUAUUAGCAUGGAAUAAUACUAUAGGAUCUUGGUUCUAUUUUGUUGGUUUCUAGGGCUAAGAUAAUAAUCAAUAGGGACAAUUGGGGGCAUUCGUAUUACGGCGUCAGAGGUGAAAUUCUUGGAUUGCCGUACGACGAACUACUGCGAAAGCAUUUGCCAAGGAUGUUUUCAUUGAUCAAGAACGAAAGUUAGGGGAUCGAAGACGAUCAGAUACCGU
rnacentral:rRNA from 1 species